AGUGGGACAGCUGGGUCAAAUGGUGGUUUCAGUCCCAAUUUUCUGAGGAAUAUCCAUACUGCUUUCCAUAGUGGUUGUACCAAUUUGCAGUCCCAUCAGCAAU
rnacentral:pre_miRNA from 1 species